CGGCAAGACGGAAAGACCCCGUGAACCUUUACUAUAGCUUGACACUGAACACUGGUCCUUGAUGUGUAGGAUAGGUGGGAGGCUUUGAAGUGUGGACGCCAGUCUGCAUGGAGCCAUCCUUGAAAUACCACCCUUUAAUGGCUGGUGUUCUAACGUAGACCCGUGAUCCGGGUUGCGGACAGUGUCUGGUGGGUAGUUUGACUGGGGCGGUCUCCUCCUAAAGAGUAACGGAGGAGCACGAAGGUUAGCUAAUCCUGGUCGGACAUCAGGAGGUUAGUGCAAAGGCAUAAGCUAGCUUGACUGCGAGAGUGACGGCUCGAGCAGGUGCGAAAGCAGGUCUUAGUGAUCCGGUGGUUCUGAAUGGAAGGGCCAUCGCUCAACGGAUAAAAGGUACUCCGGGGAUAACAGGCUGAUACCGCCCAAGAGUUCAUAUCGACGGCGGUGUUUGGCACCUCGAUGUCGGCUCAUCACAUCCUGGGGCUGAAGUAGGUCCCAAGGGUAUGGCUGUUCGCCAUUUAAAGUGGUACGCGAGCUGGGUUUAGAACGUCGUGAGACAGUUCGGUCCCUAUCUGCCGUGGGCGCUGGAGAAUUGAGGGGGGCUGCUCCUAGUACGAGAGGACCGGAGUGGACGCAUCACUGGUGUUCGGGUUGUCAUGCCAAUGGCAUUGCCCGGUAGCUAAAUGCGGAAGAGAUAAGUGCUGAAAGCAUCUAAGCACGAAACUUGCCCCGAGAUGAGUUCUCCCUGACUCCUUGAGAGUCCUGAAGGAACGUUGAAGACGACGACGUUGAUAGGUCGGGUGUGUAAGUGUAGCGAUACAUUGAGCUAACCGAUACUAAUGAACCGUGAGGCUUAACCUUACAACGCCGAAG
rnacentral:rRNA from 1 species